AGAGUUUGAUCCUGGCUCAGAUUGAACGCUGGCGGUAUGCCUAACACAUGCAAGUCGAACGAGGUAGCAAUACCUAGUGGCGGACGGGUGAGGAAUACGUAGGGAUCUGCCCUUAAGUGGGGGAUAACCCGGGGAAACCCGGAUUAAUACCGCAUGAUCUCGCAAGAGCAAAGAGGGGGACCGCAAGGCCUCUCGCUUUUGGAGGAACCUACGUCGGAUUAGCUAGUUGGUGAGGUAAUGGCUCACCAAGGCGACGAUCCGUAACUGGUCUGAGAGGAUGAUCAGUCACACCGGAACUGAGGCACGGUCCGGACUCCUACGGGAGGCAGCAGUGGGGAAUAUUGGACAAUGGGCGAAAGCCUGAUCCAGCAAUACCGCGUGUGUGAAGAAGGCCUUCGGGUUGUAAAGCACUUUAAGUUGGGAAGAAAAAGCUUCACCUAAUACGUGAAGCCUUGACGGUACCGACAGAAUAAGCACCGGCUAACUCUGUGCCAGCAGCCGCGGUAAUACAGAGGGUGCUAGCGUUAAUCGGAUUUACUGGGCGUAAAGCGUGCGUAGGUGGUUUGAUAAGUCGAUUGUGAAAGCCCCGGGCUUAACCUGGGAAUUGCGGUCGAUACUGUCAGACUCGAAAACGGUAGAGGGAGGUGGAACUCCAGGUGUAGCGGUGAAAUGCGUAGAUAUCUGGAAGAACACCGAUGGCGAAGGCAGCUUCCUGGGCCUGUUUUGACACUGAGGCACGAAAGCGUGGGUAGCAAACAGGAUUAGAUACCCUGGUAGUCCAA
rnacentral:rRNA from 1 species